rnacentral:rRNA from 1 species
CCUACGGGUGGCAGCAGUGAGGACUAUUGGUCAAUGGGCGGGAGCCUGAACCAGCCAAGUCGCGUGAGGGACGACGGUCCUAUGGAUUGUAAACCUCUUUUGUCGGGGAACAAAGGCGUCCACGGGUGGGCGGAUGAGUGUACCCGAAGAAAAAGCAUCGGCUAACUCCGUGCCAGCAGCCGCGGUAAUACGGAGGAUGCGAGCGUUAUCCGGAUUUAUUGUGUUUAAAGGGUGCGUAGGCGGACAGUGAAGUAAGCGGGAAAAAUGCGGUGCAAAAGGCCGUACAGCCGUGGAACCUGGCAGGCUUGAGUGGGCGAGAAGUAUGCGGAAGGCGGGGUGUAGCGGUGAAAUGCAUAGAUAUCACGCAGAACUCCGAUUGCGAAGGCAGCAUACCGGCGCCCUACUGACGCUGAGGCACGAAAGCGUGGGUAUCGAACAGGAUUAGAUACCCUUGUAGUC